rnacentral:lncRNA from 1 species
GAAUUCUUUCAUGGUUUCAAGACUUCUUCCGCAGGACCUCAACCUGUAUGUGAAUACGGAAUCCAACGAGGUGACCCGCUCUGAUACCAAAUGAAAAGUCUACAGCAGGUGAAACCAAUAAGAACACAAAGGAUUCAAGACCAACUGUCUCUUUAUUAAGAAUCACUUAAACAAUCUUUUACAAAGACUUGUCUAAUCCGAAUUACACAACGCCACACGCGGCUUGUCACGGACCAAUUCUUAAUCUACCCUUUGCGUGAACCAACCCCUGUUGAUCACGUUUACAAAUCACUCACUUUCUGAAACCCCAAAACCCCUGUUUGUGUUUCUGUGAGAAUAUAUCGUUGAAAG